CAGCCAUCGAUCCUUGGGUGGCCUCGAGGUGGUGGCAGGGCCGCCCCCUGCAGUCCGGAGGCGAACGCACGGACCCGGCCUCCGGAGGCAGGUUCGGCUGGGAGGAACCGCUCCCGCUUCGUCCUACACUUGGGCAAAUGUCUCCGCCUUCAGGAGUAGAAAGAACUCCGUUACACGUAGCGAAGUCAAAUGCUAGGGGAAACCAUUAGCUGGAAUCCACAGGAAACGAACGCAACACGGAACACGAAGCCCAAGCACAGAAGAUCAAAGACGCCAGGAGAGGGCCCCUCGCACCUUUUCCAAACCAAAAAUGUGAAGCAGCAGAACUUCCAAAACCUCCGGCCUCGUCUUGUGAUUCCACCAAUGCAGCCACCGCCAAGCAAGCCUUGAAAUAGCCCAUCAAGGGCAAACAGGCCCCCGAAAAAAACUCAAGGAAAAGUCGCAAACUCACGGAUUUCUACCCUGUCCCAAGGAGCUCCAGGAAGGGCAAAGCGGAGCUGCAGUUUGAAGAAAGGGAAAGAAUAGAUGAAUUGAUUGAAAGCGGGAAGGAAAGAAGGAGUGAAGACUGACCUCAUCGAUGACAAAGGCCGGGUGUAAACACCAGAGGGAGCUCUCCCAGGGCGCCUUUGUGGUAGAAAAGCACGGGAGCCUCACAGAGAUCACCGAUGCCACGGGACCCCUCCAUGGUGGAUCUCCAUGGAUCUCCGCAGUGAGAGAUCGCGCCACUGCACACCAUCCUGGGAGGCAGAGGGAGACUCCAGCUCAAAUAAGUAGAUGACUGAAUGAAUGAAUGAGCGAAUGAAUGAAUGUUAGGUUUCCAAGGUGGACUUAAACAGAUGGCUUUAUAUUACCAA
rnacentral:sRNA from 1 species